rnacentral:snRNA from 1 species
AAUCCUUUGCAGACGACU